rnacentral:tRNA from 2 species
GGGGGUGUAGCUCAGUGGUAGAGCGCGUGCUUCGCAUGUACGAGGCCCCGGGUUCAACUCCCGGUACCUCCA